rnacentral:rRNA from 1 species
GAUGAACGCUGGCGGCGUGCUUAACACAUGCAAGUCGAACGGUCAAGCGCCUACCUUUUUGGUGUGAGGGGAGGAGCGGCGGAGUGGUGAGUAAGACGUUAGUAACCUGCUCCCUCUUUCUGGAUAACGGCAUGAAAGUGUUGCUAAUACGGGAUAUUCUGAGUCUGUCGCAUGAUGGGUCUGGGAAGGUUUUUGUUUCGGUGGGGGAUGGGCUCGCGCCGUAUUAGCUAGUUGGUGGGGUGAUGGCUUACCAAGGCGACGAUGCAUAGCCGGCCUGAGAGGGUGGUCGGCCACACUGGUAGUGAGACACGGCCCAGCCUCCUACGGGAGGCAGCAGUAGGGAAGCUUCCUGGAUGGGCGAAAGCAUGACGGAGCAACGCCGCGUGAGUGAUGAAGGUCUCCGUCGGGUUGAAAACUGCUAUCGGGAGAGAAGAAGGGUGGCAGCGUCUGUGCGUGGCUUGACGGUAGCUAGACAGGAAGCGCCGGCUAACUACGUG